GUACAAGAUGUGUCGAGGUGUCCCUGAGCAAGAUACCUUACCAUAAUUGCCUCAGACGAGCUGCCUGUCACCUUGCAUGGUUGACUUGUGAAUGUGUGCAUUAACCGUUGAUACGGCCCUCCCUCAAAAGGGAAGCAGCUCAGCCCUUGGUCCAAGCGCUCAUCAUCUGAGGCCUCGACUACUGCAACUCGCUCCCGGCUGGACUCCCUUCCUCCGCCAUCAAACCUUUACAGGGUAUCCAGAACGCAGCAGCACGCCUCGUGUUCAACUUACCAAGAUUUCCUCAUUAACCCCUGUCUUCCGUAACCUCCACGGGCUCCCUGUAGUAGCAUGCAUCAAGAUUCAUGACAAUGUUACUGGCCUACAAGGGUGAACUGGAAAUGCCCCUGCCUACCUCCAAGUCUAAGUCAGACCACACACCACUUGUGCGCUCCGCUCAAUUACCUCAGCUGGACGUCUUGCACUGCCAUCGCUAAGAGCAAGCAAAGGUUGCACAACAAAGUCAAACUUAUUCUCUGUUCUGGCAACGCAAUAGUUCAACGAGCCCCCUGCCGAUGUCAGGAGUGCAGUUGCUCACCAGCUUUCACAAGAGACUUAAAACUCACCUGUUCAGAGUUCACCUGGACGCUGCAUAGCUUCCCUCUUUAUCCCCAACCGCCUUUCCUCCUGCCUUAAUCCUAAAAAAAAAACCUCUUUCGCACUUAUUGUACAUUUGUACGUCCUGUCACUUAACGUAUGCACUUUUUUAUGCGUUAUGUCCUGUUACUUUAAAUUAGCAUUGAGUAGCAUAUUUCCCGAGCUAUCUUUAUGGGAAAAAAGGGAAUGGGUCAACCUAGCAAUUGUAAAUGCUUGGCACUUAAUCUAUGAACUUCCCUACUGUACCGACAGCGUUAAAUUGUUGUUUCUCUAACUUCUGAAAAAAUUUACUUAUUGUUCGUCGCUUUUGAUAAAAGCGUAUGCUAAAUCUAAAUGUUAAUAACAAUUAGCAGUUUGUGCAAGAAUAUGCAAAGUAUGGACCAUGGAAUGUGCAGCGGUUCACAGAUUAAAGUACACAGUUUGUGUUAUGCC
ensembl:lncRNA